ACGGGUGAGUAACGCGUGGGAAUCUACCCAUCUCUACGGAACAACUCCGGGAAACUGGAGCUAAUACCGUAUACGUCCUUUGGGAGAAAGAUUUAUCGGAGAUGGAUGAGCCCGCGUUGGAUUAGCUAGUUGGUGGGGUAAUGGCCUACCAAGGCGACGAUCCAUAGCUGGUCUGAGAGGAUGAUCAGCCACACUGGGACUGAGACACGGCCCAGACUCCUACGGGAGGCAGCAGUGGGGAAUAUUGGACAAUGGGCGCAAGCCUGAUCCAGCCAUGCCGCGUGAGUGAUGAAGGCCCUAGGGUUGUAAAGCUCUUUCAACGGUGAAGAUAAUGACGGUAACCGUAGAAGAAGCUUUGGCUAACUUCGUGCUAGCAGCUGCGGUAAUACGAAGGGGGCUAGCGUUGUUCGGAAUUACUGGGCGUAAAGCGCUCGUAGGCGGAUACUUAAGUCAGGGGUGAAAUCCCGGGGCUCAACCUCGGAACUGCCUUUGAUACUGGGUAUCUCGAGUCCGGAAGAGGUGAGUGGAAUUCCGAGUGUAGAGGUGAAAUUCGUAGA
rnacentral:rRNA from 1 species